rnacentral:rRNA from 1 species
GAUGAACGCUGGCGGCGUGCCUAAUACAUGCAAGUCGAGCGAACAGAUGAGGAGCUUGCUCCUCUGACGUUAGCGGCGGACGGGUGAGUAACACGUGGAUAACCUACCUAUAAGACUGGGAUAACUUCGGGAAACCGGAGCUAAUACCGGAUAAUAUAUUGAACCGCAUGGUUCAAUAGUGAAAGACGGUUUUGCUGUCACUUAUAGAUGGAUCCGCGCCGCAUUAGCUAGUUGGUAAGGUAACGGCUUACCAAGGCAACGAUGCGUAGCCGACCUGAGAGGGUGAUCGGCCACACUGGGACUGAGACACGGUCCAGAAUCCUACGGGAGGCAGCAGUAGGGAAUCUUCCGCAAUGGGCGAAAGCCUGACGGAGCAACGCCGCGUGAGUGAUGAAGGUCUUCGGAUCGUAAAACUCUGUUAUUAGGGAAGAACAAAUGUGUAAGUAACUAUGCACGUCUUGACGGUACCUAAUCAGAAAGCCACGGCUAACUACGUG